rnacentral:lncRNA from 1 species
UGAAUCUUCCUUUGUCUUUUGAUUUCAUGGACCUGUUGAGCCUUUUUAUCAUGAGUCUCAUAUUUUCUUCAUCUUCUGAGUCUUCAUCUUCCAUUUUGUUCUUGCUCUUUUCUACCUCAGAUUUUAAGGCUAGACUCUUUUUCUUGGUUUUGGCUUUUGCUUCUUCUUCAUCAAGUCUUCCAAGAUCAAGCUCAUGCUCCCUCAACUUUCUGAAUAGUGCCGCCAU